AAAGAUGAGUGCAUGAGUAUAAAGGGCAUGAUAAUUAAACUAUAUGAUUAAAUUAAUUAAUUAAAUUUGAUUUGAACUAAUUAUUUAGGUUAAUUAGAAUCAAGUAUUUUAAUUAAUCAAUUGAAAAAAUCCAAUUGUUAAUUUAAAUGAUUAAGGCUAAUUAACCUAAUUAAUUAAAAAAGUUUUAAUUAAUUAAUAAUUAUAAUAAUAAUAAAACAUUAAAAUAAAAUAAAAAAUAAAAUAAAAAAGUUAUAAGCAAAAUACGUGAGAGUGCAAGAGAAAUAGAGGAGUGGUAUUUUUAGUAAACAAACGAAAGAAGAAGAAAAAACAAUAAUCAAAACA
rnacentral:lncRNA from 1 species